rnacentral:tRNA from 1 species
ACUUGGAUAGCUUAUAUUUAGAGCGUGACACUGAAGAUGUUAGUGAGGUAAUUUAUUUACCUUUAAGUA